GCUGGUGAGGCAGCUCCUUCCUCACCACUUCAUGUGUGUCCCUCCCAAUGCCACACUGGGACCAAGAGGCUGACAUUCCUGAUCAAAGAGGUUGUUCUUCAUUUAGGGCUUGUGAAAAAGCUGUAUUCUCCUUCUAGAACCUCCAAGAAAGCUCUAGGAGCCAAUCUGUGGGAGAACGUAGAAUAGCCAAGCUCCCAUGGACUGACACCCCUAAAAGCAAUCUGUAUUU
ensembl:misc_RNA 7SK 7SK RNA